GGAUGUGAGGGUGAUCUGGCUGCGACAUCUGUGGCGCCAUUGAUCACCAGGGUUGAUUCAGCUGAUCUGGCUGGCUAGGUGAGUGUCCCCUUCCUCCCUCCCCACUUCACAUGCGUCCCUCCUGAAGCUGUGGGCUUGGCUGAAGAGGACAACUCUCCCUGAUAGAGGACUGUUCUUUGGUAAUGGGCAUAUGAGUAACUGCACUCCCUUUGGGAGGUGAUUAGGUCAUACUAGUGGAGCUCUGCUGAUUGGGGUUCAUGCCCUUUUAAAAGACGCCCCCAGACAGCUAGCUUGUUCCUUCUA
rnacentral:snRNA from 1 species